rnacentral:rRNA from 1 species
UACGUAGGGGGCGAGCGUUGUCCGGAGUUACUGGGCGUAAAGCGCACGCAGGCGGUCUGUGAAGUUUGGAGUGACAGUUGGUGGCUCAACCCCCAAAGUGCUUUGAAAACUGACAGACUUGAGGGCUUCAGAGGGACACGGAAUUCCGGGUGGAGUGGUGAAAUGCGUAGAGAUCCGGAGGAACACCAAAGGCGAAGGCAGUGUCCUGGGGAGUACCUGACGCUCAGGUGCGAAAGCCAGGGGAGCGAACGGG